GAUGAACGCUAGCGGCAGGCUUAACACAUGCAAGUCGAGGGGUAUAGGUUUUCGGACCUAGAGACCGGCGCACGGGUGCGUAACGCGUAUGCAACCUACCUUUUAUUGGGGGAUAGCCCGAGGAAACUCGGAUUAAUACCGCAUAAUAUCACCUGAGGGCAUCUGAGGGUGAUGAAAGCUGAGGCGAUAAGAGAUGGGCAUGCGUGCCAUUAGCUAGUUGGUUGAGGUAACGGCUCACCAAGGCGACGAUGGCUAGGGGUUCUGAGAGGAUGAUCCCCCACACUGGUACUGAGAUACGGACCAGACUCCUACGGGAGGCAGCAGUAGGGAAUAUUGGGCAAUGGACGCAAGUCUGACCCAGCCAUGCCGCGUGCAGGAUGAGGGCCUUCUGGGUUGUAAACUGCUUUUAUCUAGGAAGAAAAUACCCCUGCGGGGGGAACUGACGGUACUAGGUGAAUAAGCACCGGCUAACUCCGUGCCAGCCGCCGCGGUAAAAC
rnacentral:rRNA from 1 species